UACUCCACCUCCUGAAGCCCACUUCCUAUCCUGUUAUUCUCUCAAAAUAGUUAUAUCAUCAUGUAGAAAAUGUCAAUAAUCAGCGUUUAUAUGAUUACAACUAUGUAAACACUGGUUUUCAUCACUGAGCCAGGUUGUAUACUCUUACUAUUCCUGUGUUGCACAUUUAUUUUUUAAUUUUCCUAGAAGUUAGUGAUUGCCUUGUUUUAUCAUUUGCUUAAUUUUCUAUGUACCAAUCAUUAAUUCAGCCCCAAAACCUCCCCCCAAGAGUUGAAAUGUUCUCUCAGUGUUUUCAAAUAUAUCAGAUAUUCUAUCAAUUUCAGCCUCUUCAAGACAUCUUCUCUGGAUGGAACAUUCUGAUGUGUUCCAUCCUGGUCUGGUUCUCUCUACCCCAAGUAUGAAAUUGUCAUCUUGAGAAUCUCUCUUUUCCAUAGUCCCAGGAACUUUAUUUACGCCUCUCUUUCUGAGACUUUGCAUGUUCGAAAAUAUUUUUAUUCUACCCUCACACUAAACUGAGAGUUUUGCUGAAUAGAGAUCUCUCACAAUUUUAAAGGCAAUUCUCUAUUGUCCUUUAACUUCCACUGAAAUAAUCAUGGCUGUAUAUCGGCAUUUGCAUCAGUUUCCUGAGCAUAAUUUCCCACAGGGUAACACAAAGAAGGCUGGAUGAUGCCUGCAUAUGCAGUAGGUUAUGGAAGAGGAACCCCAAGCUUAGGGAGCCCUAAUCUUUUAUAAUGCAUAGGAAAUCUUUCUGGCUUUUGCUCGGGGGUAAGAUGGUAUAUUGGACAGCAAACAAACGUACCCUCCGCCUAGGAGGGAAACAUUAUCUCUAUCUUUCUUUUUUUUUUUUUUUAAGAUUUUAUUUAUUUAUUUGCAAGAGAGAAUGAGAGUCAGAGAGCACGAGAGGGAGGAGGGUCAGAGGGAGAAGCAGACUCCCCGCCGAGCAGGGAGCCCGAUGCGGGACUCGAUCCCGGGACUCCAGGAUCAUGACCUGAGCCGAAGGCAGUUGCUUAACCGACUGAGCCACCCAGGCGCCCCAUUAUCUCUAUCUUCCAAGGCUGUUUGCUAUAUACACAUCUUUGAAAAGAUAGCCUGGAGCAAAAGCUAGGGCCGGUACUUGAGAAACAUCCAGAAAUGUGAGAGACUCAUAAAGAAUUAUCUCCCAACAUUGUUUGUUCUCUAUAUUUCAUGUUAAACACUUUCCUCAAAUGUCUGGUGAUUCUUGGCUAUGUGCUCAUGUUUAGGAACUGCCUCCGUGCUAUCAACUUAGCGGUCUGAGUUUUGAAAGCCAAGUGGAAGAAAGAAGGCUGUAGGGGAUAGUGUGGUAGAGAGGCAAGUUUCAACUUUUAGGAUUCCAGCUUCUACUUAGCCCCCAUUUUACAGUAAAGUUCCUUAACUUUCAGCUAUGCCUGCUGUCCUUCAGUCCAGAGGCCCCUUGUUUUAUGCUCUGUAGGCUUCACUGUUCAUGGCCACUAGUCACAUGUGCCUAUUGAACACAUGAAAUGUAAAUAGUCCAAAUUGAAGUAAGCGGUAAGUGUAAAAUACUUCUUAAUUUCAAAGAGUUAGUACAAAAGAAGGUAAAAUAUCUCAUUAGUAAUUUUUAUGCUGAUCAUGUACUAAAAUGAUAAAAUUUUGUAUACAUUGGGUUAAAUAUAUUAUUAAAAUUAUGUUUGUCUUUUUCUUUUUACUUUUAGAAAAAAUGUGGCUAGUGGAAAAUUCUGAGGUUUAGGAAGUUCUUCCUCAGCACUUUUUGGUGAUACCUAAACACAUAUCUCUUCUAAUCAGAGGAAGCUGAUUUCCAGGAUCUUUUGGUCCUUUUCCUCAACCGCCCAGUAAGGGAGCAUAUUCACAGGUUCUGGGGAUUAUGGUGUGGACAUCCUUGGGGAUCAUUAUUCUGCAUGCCACACUAUCCUUGUGUCCAUGUUACAAGUGAUGAAACUGAGGCACAGAGACUAAGAUCCUUCCUUGUUGAAGGUUGCAUAACCAGUGAGCCAACUUUUGAAUCCAUGCUGCUUGGAACCAGAGCUGGAGCUACAUCAGGGCUUGGAUGACUGGGAGGAAAGUAUUUCCAAAUAAGGCCCAGGUCCUGCCUCUUACUGAGUGAAGAUGAAGAAAACUUCCUCUCCAGCAACUCAGCACCUUUUGACUUGAAGAGGCUUGAGGAAUGACAAAUCAAAGCACGACAGACAGCCCCCACUGGCUUUGGGGCCAGAGCGGCGCUUCCCGGGCCAUGCCUUUUUCAUCACCAUCACAAAUUUCAGUGGUGGCUGGCAGGCAACAGUGAAUGAUCUUCAGGGAACCCUCCGACUGAGGUUUUUCUACCCUUCGUCAGCCACUCUCUGCACUCACUUUUCCAUCAAAGCAGAAAUCUCUUAAUUUUCAACUAGAAAGAGAUUAUGAAGCACAUUUUGCAUGCAUUCUCCCGCCACCUCCAUCCUCCUGACCAAGGAAAAUUCGUUGGAAAGAAAAGAUAUGAGAAUUCUCUCAUGCAGUCAUAAUGAUUUGUCUAAAGAAGAAAAAAAUUGAAAAUCGUAGAUGUUUCGAUUGUUUGCUCUUCAGCUUGUUCACGAGGGAGGGAUUCUACACUAGGGUUAGGGGGCUGGCCACGCAUAUGACCCCCACUGCUGGAGAAUGAUGGCAGCCUGUUGUCCAAGGAAAGAAGAUACUGUGCCACCACAGCUGGACAGGGGUUGUCAUCGGGAACAGAGUGAACAAGCCGGGGCUAUGCGGGGGCAGGCUUUAUAGUAACAAGAGGUUGGAGGGACUCCUGGUUUCUCCAGGAGGACGUGAUUGUUUGAUUUGAAUAUUUCUGUAGCUGGCAGGGAACUGAAGCCUGCUACUCAGGGCUAAACAGGCACUGUGCCACGUCCACAUGAUAAGGUGGGUUGUUUGGCUAGGGGACCUUAUCGGAGGGACCGGAGUGGGUAAGGAGAUGCAGUUAGGCCAUUCGAGGACUUCCCAGUUUCCCAGGGCCGGGCAGCACAAAAUCUUAAUUGUAGGUCUGACACCACUAUAGAGAUGACUGAGACACAUUUACCCAGGUGGACAAAGAAGCUCCUCGCCUGUAUCUGGCGGGUCAUUGCUCUAACCCAUUACCUCUCACCCCCACCCUUAAGUCCAACAAGAAGUCCUUUCAAAACUAGAGAUAAAAUUAGGAAUGUUGGAAGCAUUGUUGGGGUUGUUCCAGCCUUACUCCCUUCUUUGGAAAAAGGUAGAAUGACCAGGACUCUGUGUGAUGGCCUGGAGCCUGCGGUUGCCCCGUCUGCACGCAAGCAUUCUUGUGACUGUUGAGACAUUUGACUGACUCCGCAGGGACUCCCCAUGGGCUGGCCCAGCUGCAGCUUCUGGAACAAGGAAACGGAGUCAAUUGGCCUUGUCAGCCCCUGUAAGCCGUAACUUAGAAAAAUAGAAGCCCAGUAGUGAGCACACUUAACAAAAAUACAAAGUCAGCAGUUAAAUAGGGCAUUUGUGAUUGUUCACGGAAAAGAAUUAUGGGGAAAUGUGUUGAGGAUAGUUUUAUUUAUUUAUUUUUUUUAAGAUUUUUAUUUAUUUAUUUGACAGAGAGAGAUAGUGAGAGCAGGAACACAAGCAGGGGGAGUGGGAGGGGGAGAAGCAGGCUUCCCGCCGAGCAGGGAGCCCGAUGCGGGGCUCGAUCCCAGGACCCUGGGAUCAUGACCUGAGCCGAAGGCAGACGCUUAACGACUGAGCCACCCAGGCGCCCGAGGAUAGUUUUAGAAAUACACAUGAAAGGAGGUAUUCGAUACACUGUAUUAUAAUAAAAUUAGUAAUGUAAUAUCUGCGGUAUUUACACACUCUGAAUGAACUUAAAACGCUGUAAUUAAAUGAAAAUCUUUUUCCUGUGCACAAGAACGAUGAUAUUGCCUUAUUUUUUUAAAAAAAUUUUUAAAUGUUAAAUGAUGACAUUUCAAAUGUACAGCCAAGCCCUGAAAAUACUAGCAGAUACUCAUGGACUGACCUCCCAUAUUAACAGAUGUGAACAUUUUGCUUUAUUUGCUUCAGAAUCAAUUAUCUCUCUUUUUAAGAAAGAAAACUUAAAGUGCAGACCAGAGCACCCUCGUUCCCUCCUUACCUGUCUCCCUAGGGGCAACCGUGAUCCUGACCACUUACAUAUGUUUAAAUUUUUAUUAUAUAUAUAUAUCCAUAAAUGAUAUAUACUAUAUUUUGUAUGCAUUAAAUAUUUAUAUAGACAUUAGAAACCAUACGGUACAUUUCUUUUUGUAACUUACUGUUCUUAUCAACAUGCUUUGACAUUUAUUCAUAUUGGUAUAUAUAGAUCUAGUUUCUUCAUUUUACCUUUCAUUCAUAAAUCAGUUUAUUUACUCAUUGGCCUAUUGUGAUAUUGUGAUUUAUAAUAAGAAAUAUAAUUAAUUUGCUGUGCUCUGGUAAGGACUAAGAUAGCUGAAAUUUAGACUGGAGAGAAGAAAUAUUAUUUAAAUGUAAAAAGAGCAAUUUAGUUUUCCUUGUGCCUUGUAGAAUUAUAUACCACUCAUUCAAAUUUCCUUGUUUCAAAACCGUCUUAAGGUGAGGCAGAAACUGUCAAUUGUCCCUGACAUUCAUUUUCCUCUUUUUUCUUUAAUAAUGGAUCCCACAUUUUUUACUGGGCUCAUAGCCUCUUGGAAUAAGGUUGUGUAGCUAGGUAUGGUGAGGAGACUAACUUCUACUAAAGUAGAAGACAAAUUUUCUCAGAAGUUUUCUUCAAGUGGGGAAGUGAACUCUUCUUUGUUCUCUUUUGCACUGGCUGGAAUGCAGACACAGUGGCUGGAGCUUAAGUAACCAUCUUAGGCCAUGAGGCGAUAGCACAUGCUGAGGAUGGCAGAGCAACAAAACAGAAGAAUUCUGGUUCCCUAAUACUGUAGAACAGGGGUCAACAAAAUGUUUCUGUAAAGGGAAAGAUGAUAAAUAUCUCUAGCUUGGCAGACUAUAUGGUCUCUGUCCCAACUAGUCAACAAUGUCAUGUUAGAGGGGAAAUAGCCACAGAUAAUAUGCAAUGAAUGAGUUCCAAUACGUUCCAAUAUGUAUUCCAAUAAACUUUUGUUUACGGACAGUGAAGUGGAAUCUCUUAUCAUUUUCAUAUGUCAUGAAAUCUUAUACUUCUUUUGAUUUAUUUUCAACCAUUAAAAAACAUAAAGCAAUUCUUAGCUCACGGGCUUACAAAACGGGCAGCAGGUCAGUUUUCAUGCAAAGCCUGGUUUGCCAGCCUCUGCUAGAGCACCUUGUGGUCUCAGACUGCUUAUCUUGAGUCUUUGUUUACAGGAAAGAGGGAUUUUUUUGUUUUUUAAGAUUUAGUUGAGAGAGUGUGUGUGCCCUGGCGGGGAGGAGCAGAGGGAGAGGGAAGAGAGAGAAUCUCAAGCAGACUCCCUGCUGAGCCUGGAGCCCAACAUGAGGCUCGAUCCACGACCCUGAGAUCACGACCCUGAGGUCAUGACCAGAGCCGAAAUCAAGGGUCUGACGCUUAACCAACUGAGCCACCCAGGUGCCCCAGGAGAGAGACACUCUUGUUGUUUCUGGGAGAUGGGGUUUGCUGUGAUUCAGCAGAGCUAAAUCCUGAUAACAAGUAGAUGCCACAGCCCCUGAGGUUCUCCCCCCCCACACGACCC